GCUUACAGCCAUACCACCCUGAACACGCCCGAUCUCGUCCGAUCUCGGAAGCUAAGCAGGGUCGGGCCUGGUUAGUACUUGGAUGGGAGACCGCCUGGGAAUACCAGGUGCUGUAAGCU
rnacentral:rRNA from 1 species